UACGUAGGGGGCAAGCGUUGUCCGGAAUCAUUGGGCGUAAAGCGCGUGUAGGCGGCCCGGUAAGUCUGCUGUGAAAGCCCAGGGCUCAACCCUGGGAUGCCGGUGGAUACUGUCGGGCUAGAGUCCGGAAGAGGCGAGUGGAAUUCCUGGUGUAGCGGUGAAAUGCGCAGAUAUCAAGGAGGAACACCAAUGGCGAAGGCAGCUCGCUGGGACGUGACUGACGCUGAGACGCGAAAGCGUGGGGAGCAAACAGG
rnacentral:rRNA from 1 species